rnacentral:misc_RNA from 1 species
GGUUUUUAUAGUAAAUGGAUUCAGUUCGGUUUUUAAUUUCAGAAUUUUUUUAUUAAUUCAGUUUGGUUCAGUUUUCAGAAAAAAAAAAUCGGAGAAACCGAACCAAACCGAAUAAAAUUUAAUUAAAUGCUUAUUAGAUACACUCCUCUCUUCUAGCAUUGUGGUAGCAUGCACUUUAAGGAUUGCCAGUGUCUUGGUCUUGAUACCCAAGACAAACAUCUCCCAUUUUUUUUACAUUUUUAACUUUUAAUUUUAACCAUCUAUCCUUUUAAAACUAAUCUCAGCCAUCCAAUUCUCUCUCUCUCUAUAUAUAUUCUUUAACAAAAGAGACCCUAACAUUUUCUUCUCUUUCUCUACCUUGUAACGCCACCCACCUUCCCAACCCACAUUUCUUCUCUUUCUUUGACCAGUGACGCCAUCUAUCUUCUUUUCCUCUCUGCCUGUUAUUCCUUUUCAUUUCUUUAGAUCCUUAAUAUGAUUAUUUUUCCUAAAGCGACUAAAAAUUUCAAUUUUUCUUAUAGCAGAAAGAUUUUGAGCCCUUAACAGCAAAAAAGCUUUGCCAAAUGUCAAAGAUAUUUUAUCAAUUGCUUGCAUUUUGAGAAGAUUAAUUACUUGUAAGCCAAGAAAAUAAAGUUUCAAAAUGAGUCAUGUUUGUGAAUUAAUGUUUCCUAUUUGCCUAUUUCUCCAUUUCUUUUUCUUUUAUUUUUUUUAAUUUAUAUUCUGCAAUAUGUAAUUUUGAUAUUGUUAUUUGAUUUGAAUCGAUCAUCGUAAUUUUGAGUUAAAUCAAUUGAUGGAAAUAUUGUUUUUAAUUAUUUUGUUUUGGAUAUGUAUUUGAAUUCGUGAUUGUGUACUAUGAUUGAACAUGGGAGAUAAUAUUGUGAUUGAACAUGGAAGAAAAAUGGAGGCUUGAAAACCAAAUUUAUAAAGUGAACCAAACUGAUUUAUUUUGGUUUGGUUCGGUUCAGUAGUAUAUAUAGCUCAAUUCAGUUUGGUUUUUAAUUUUAAAUGAAAAUUGGUUAUCGAUUUUUUCAGUUCAGUUCAGUUUUGAACCGAACCGACGGAAUGCUCACAUAUACUCUUAUCAUUCUAUUCUUCAUAUAAAUAAAUUUUGUAAGAAUCUUUAAGCACAUUACCAAUCACAUGCAUUUGUGCGUUGGCCAACAAAUACUUCAAAUAUAUUAGGGAACAUACGGAAAGGAUAAGGUAAGUGUGACAUGAAUGCCAAAUAUAUGUGUGUAGAGCAA